ensembl:lncRNA MIR99AHG mir-99a-let-7c cluster host gene
AGAACAAGUAGAAUGGAAAGAAAUUAGGAAUGGGAGUAGUGCAGAGCAGCUUGAACUAAUGCACUGGGAAUGGAAAUGAGAGAACAGGCAAAACAUUUGAGAAAGUCGAUUUGAAAAGGCAGAUUGUUUAUGUUGAUCUUCAGGAAUUUUACUGGGAUAAUUAUCCAAAUAAAUUGCAAGCAUUCUAUCCAAAUGGAGCUCUUUCUGAGAUGAAGAGAAUUCUCAAUGUCAAGAUUUGAACAAGAAGAGAAUGGAAUACACAAUAUGGACAUCCAUAAAAAUUCAUCAGAGAGCAUUUUACUACUGAGCUGCAAAGGUGUCUGAUGAUUUGUGAGCCUCAAGUGACUACUCUGUGGAAUCAUCUGUCCUUGCCUUUGAAUUAGCUUUCCCUAGGCCAUGAGUCAACAUUAGUAGUUUAUACAUCCAAAUUGAUGACAAGAGCACCUCAAAGGCAGCAGCCUCAAGGAGCAGCCAUGGCCCCAGACUUGUCGCACGGAUGCAGAAAACUUAAUGGAGGAGGCUGAGGUCAGAAUGGGAAGAGUUUUUAAAAAAUAAAAAGGGGAGCUAA